UACAGAGGGUGCGAGCGUUAAUCGGAAUUACUGGGCGUAAAGCGUGCGUAGACGGUUAUUUAAGUCGGGUGUGAAAGCCCCGGGCUCAACCUGGGAAUUGCAUUCGAGACUGAAUAGCUAGGGUACGGUAGAGGGAAGCGGAAUUUCCGGUGUAGCGGUGAAAUGCGUAGAUAUCGGAAGGAACACCUGUGGUGUAGACAGCUUACUGGACCAUUUCUGACGCUGAGACACGAAAGCGUGGGUAGCAAACAGG
rnacentral:rRNA from 1 species